ACCCCGAGCCAGCAGAACCGAGGAGGCAAACUCCACAGAGGACUGGCAGCUCCCCGUGCUCGGGCAGCUUCCUACACAGGGCACGGCGAGGAGAGGAAGAGCCAAUUCCCACCCCAACCCCCCGAGACGCGCUUCCUGGGCACGCAACGUGUCAUCCCAACUUUUUUUUUUUUUUUCCCCUUUCCUUUUCUUUCCUUUUUUUUGUUGUUUAAAGCUCGAUGCCGUUUAAGCGGCCACUGCUCGACAAAACCCUCGGCAGCCGCUUACCAGAAUAUUCCCCGCGGCCCCCGGGUCAGCCCGUGCCCGCACUGCCCCGCACACCGCCCCCACCGCAAAACUUUCCGGCCGUGCCCCGGCUGCGAGGGACCCCUCCGCCUCCCCGGGCCAACUUCUCCUUUGUGCCGCUCUCCCCUCGCUGACACAAAGCGGCGGCUGUCAGGAGCCCGCCGGGCCCCUUCCCUCACCACCCCCCGCCGCCACCUGCCCCCUCCCCGGGGAGCCCCCGCCCAGGUGACCCCCCUCCGCCCUGCCCCCACCUCCUGUCCCCUACGGCCGACACAAGUUUGCGGCGGCCCCGUCCCGCCCUCCCACGGGGUGCGCUCACCUCGGCCCGGCCCGGCCGGUGGGAGCGGGGCGGAGCGGCGCGGGGAGGCUCCCAGCCCGGGCGGGCUCCGCUUCUUUGUCUCCUCGGCGGCGGUACCCGCUCGCUCGCUCCCCCCCCCUCCGCUUCCCUCUUCCCUUCCACAAGCGGAUGCGGGCUGCGUGCUCCGAGAGGGGCCGGCUCCCCCCCUUCCUCUUCCUCCUCCGGACGCGUCCAAGGCCCCGGCCCUCGGCGGCUCCGCUCCUCGCCUCCCUCAGCCGGCGGCGGCCCCGGCCCCUCCUCCGCCCGAUCGACCGCCCGGCCCCCACCUCGCACAGCCCCCGCCCCCGCCCUGCCCUUCCUGCCGCUGCCGCUGCCGGGAUCGCGCGGGAGGAGCUCCCCGGGCUCCCCCUCGCGCUCCGGGAGUGCCGGCGCUUCCUCCGCCCGCCCCCGCCCUUCCUUCCCCCACCUCCAGCAGCAGGAAGGCCCGGCCCGGUUGGGGGCUGGGGGUGCCUCCCAGAUCUCCGGGGAAAGUGCUCAAAGAAACGGGGGGAACCCGCUUGUGGUGCUAG
rnacentral:lncRNA from 1 species